ACUACGGCGAGUGAGAGGGAAGAGCCCAAGAUUGAAAGCUGGCGCCUUCGGCGUCCGCAUUGUAAUCUCAAGAAGUGUUUUCCGCUUCGGACCAUGCCUAAGUCCCUUGGAAAAGGGCAUCAUAGAGGGUGAUAAUCCCGUACAUGGGAUGGAGCGCCCGAAGCUUUGUGAUACCCUUUCUAAGAGUCGAGUUGUUUGGGAAUGCAUCUCAAAAUGGGGGGUAAAUGCCAUCUAAGGCUAAAUAUUGGGGAGAGACCGAUAGCGAACAAGUACAGAGAUGGAAUGAUGAAAAGAACUUUGAAAAGAGAGUUAAACAGUACGUGAAAUUGCCAAAAGGGAAGGGGCAGAGGUCCUAGAUGCGUCUUGGGAUUCCGCCUUGCUUUUGCAUGGUGUUUUUCCCAAGUUGGACGCCAUCGUCUGUUUUGGCUGCUGGAGACUUGUAGAAGGAACCUCCCUCCUCUCGGGGUGUGUUAUAUCCUUCUACUGGAUACCCCGACCAAGACCGAGCUUCGCCUCGGACUCUGGCGAACUGGCCUUUUUCCACCUUUACUCUUACGGGGACCGCACAAUGGGCCUCUACCACCCGUCUUGAAA
rnacentral:rRNA from 1 species